UACAGAGGUCUCAAGCGUUGUUCGGAUUCAUUGGGCGUAAAGGGUGCGUAGGUGGCGGGGUAAGUUGGAUGUGAAAUCCCGGGGCUCAACCCCGGAACUGCAUUCAAUACUGCCUUGCUAGAGCACUGGAGAGGAGAUUGGAAUUUACGGUGUAGCAGUGAAAUGCGUAGAUAUCGUAAGGAAGACCAGUGGCGAAGGCGGAUCUCUGGACAGUUACUGACACUGAGGCACGAAGGCCAGGGGAGCAAACGGG
rnacentral:rRNA from 1 species